GGCAGAGUAGCAUAGUGGUAAGGUGUAGGGCUUGUAACCGAAAGGUUGCCGGUUUGACUCCCUGCUGGGGCA